AUAAAGUUUAGGGGGAUGUGAGAUCAAAAUCCAUCCUCUAACAAACACUUUUUGUGAACUGAACCCCGUCUCUGGCGAGAGGGUGGUGGCGUUAAAGCCCCGCUUGUCAGCACAGUGCCUUGGCACUGGCGCCGUGGACAACUCGCCAAACCCCUUUUUAAACAUCUGUUUUCAUAUUAAGACUGACAUUACUUUGUAUAAUACAAAAAA
rnacentral:misc_RNA from 1 species